GACGAACGCUGGCGGCGUGCCUAAUACAUGCAAGUUGAGCGAUGAAGAUUGGUGCUUGCACCAAUUUGAAGAGCAGCGAACGGGUGAGUAACGCGUGGGGAAUCUGCCUUUGAGCGGGGGACAACAUUUGGAAACGAAUGCUAAUACCGCAUAACAACUUUAAACAUAAGUUUUAAGUUUGAAAGAUGCAAUUGCAUCACUCAAAGAUGAUCCCGCGUUGUAUUAGCUAGUUGGUGAGGUAAAGGCUCACCAAGGCGAUGAUACAUAGCCGACCUGAGAGGGUGAUCGGCCACAUUGGGACUGAGACACGGCCCAAACUCCUACGGGAGGCAGCAGUAGGGAAUCUUCGGCAAUGGACGAAAGUCUGACCGAGCAACGCCGCGUGAGUGAAGAAGGUUUUCGGAUCGUAAAACUCUGUUGGUAGAGAAGAACGUUGGUGAGAGUGGAAAGCUCAUCAAGUGACGGUAACUACCCAGAAGGGACGGCUAACUACGUG
rnacentral:rRNA from 1 species